rnacentral:lncRNA from 1 species
AAUCGGCGCCACAAACAUAAAUAGAACGGCCCGAGGAAGGUUUGCUCCGCGCGCUGGUGGGAGGGGGUGACGGGCGCGCGCGCUCUCUCGCCUGCCUCCGGCUGCGCGGGGCGGGGCGGGGACGCCGUGCCGAUGUGUCGCCUUCUUCUUCCCCGCACCCUCCGCUGAUGUCACGCGCGCAAGCCCGGGCGCGCCUCGCGCGCGUGGUGGGAAAAGGGGGUGGUGCCGGCGGCGCCCUCAGUGCCACCAUGUAGGGAAUGGAAUGCGGGGGCGGAGCCGCCGCAGCCUCAACCCGGUCACCUCUGCUGGGAAAGCCGGGUUGAGGGGGGAGGGAGCGAACGCAGAGAAAUACGGUAAUGACACAGGAGCGGCGGCGGCGGCCGCCUCCCGGGGGAAGGCGGGGGCUGUUCCGCUUCCAGCCUCUCAGCCGGGGCGCCGCCGGCGCUGGAGCUGCGGCAAGACGGCGGAGACGCGGCGGAGAGCAGGCUGUCCCGUCUAUCAGAGGCACUACGGUAGUCGCGCGGCCCCACGCGCGCCCCCGCGGCCGUUACUCCCGCGAGGAGCGCGGGGCGCGAGCUGGACGUUGCCGCCUCGCUCCGCAGAUGGUCCGGGCUGGAAGCGCUCCGGUAGCCCAAGGUGAAGGGCUUGGUGCCACAACUCGCAGAUCCACUCAAAUAAACCAUUCAAAAGUCAUACUAGCUGUCCAAAUUAAAUGUCCUUCCUUGAAAAAGAAAACACAAUAG